UACAGAGGUCUCAAGCGUUGUUCGGAUUCAUUGGGCGUAAAGGGUGCGUAGGUGGCGCUGUAAGUCGGGUGUGAAAUUUCGGAGCUUAACUCCGAAACUGCAUUCGAUACUGCGGUGCUUGAGGACUGGAGAGGAGACUGGAAUUCAUGGUGUAGCAGUGAAAUGCGUAGAGAUCAUGAGGAAGACCAGUGGCGAAGGCGGGUCUCUGGACAGUAACUGACGCUGGAGGCGACGAAAGGCAUAGGGGAGUCAAACACGGG
rnacentral:rRNA from 1 species